rnacentral:misc_RNA from 1 species
GUGAUCAUCGAAUCUUUGAACGCACCUUGCGCUCUAUGGCAAUCCGUAGAGCAUGCCUGUUUGAGUGCCAUGAAAUCUCCCACCCCAAGCGGUUUUUAAUGAAACGGCUUGGCGGAUGGGGUCUAAACACCCGCCUGUCUCCGUCCCACCCCCUGCAGUAUGUCUCAAGAUCUCCAAAGACUUGUGUUCCCUCCGCCCUCCCCCCCCUGCUCCUUCUUGUUUGACCUCCAUUCUUGUACGUAGUACCCCCUGAACUUACACUUAUUUUUAUACCAAGGAAGAAAAAUUUUUUUUUUUUGUCUUCCUUCCUUCUUCCCUCUUUCCCCAUCCCACUUUCUUUUCUUUCCGCUUCUCGAGUUGGACGGCCUCUUGCUUAUACUUACCAAAAAAUAACGAACGAACUUUCCUUGCUCGAU